GUUGCUGUUGGCACAGCAUUCCUGCUGCUCUAGGAGAAACACCAGCCUGUUUUUCAUCUGUCCUUUGUUUCUGAUUUAUGGAUCCCUCUAAAGCAGAAGUGAAAGAUUUAUUGUGAUGGCAAAAAGAUGAGUCAGUGCCCUGGGUGAGGGGAGAGCAGCAGCUGGAGACACUCACCGAAAAGCAACGCCUCGGAAACCAGAGCAGCUCUCAUGUCCAGCAGUGCCAAGAGAUGCAAUUUCUCCUCUAACAAGAACCACCAGGACACAGGGAGUGGGAGAAGGCUUCCUCAUGACCUGGCAAGUGGCUGCUGAGCGAGUAUUGCCAUGAAAAGCAGAGGAUUUGUGAACAAGCAGAGGACACUGCACAUCCUGCUCCCACCCAGCCCAUCCCGAGGAUGCUCCUGGAGCUGGACUGAGCCUGGCCUGGGCUUGGGCUCCUGGGGAACAGCUUCAGAGCUGCUGCUGGUCCCUCACUGAAACACAGCACAGAGACACCAGGGAAGGUGUGGAUUUGAGCCCCUCAAGCAGGAGGAAUUGCUGACUCCAAGAAGCACAUUCCCCAUCCGCCUCUGCAUCCCCUCUGAUGUUUUUGGCAUUUAUUUUGGACAAAUAUGAGCGAAGUGGGAUCUGAAGCUGUCCCUGUUGCUUCCUGACCAGGUGAAGCCUCCUGAGGCUUCACAUAAGCAGGUGCAACACGAACAUGAUUUCCUUUAAAUAA